AUGAUUGACCUGAAUGAGGAACCAGCUGAAAAUAAUGGUGAUCCAUUGUACUGUACACAACAUGCUGCUGGAAACGCAGAAUUUGUGGCGGAAUCACCUAAUCCCCCUAUCAUGCAAAGAGUCAAUGCUGCUGCUACAGAAGCAAUGGAGACAGAUGGGCAGUCAAGUCGUGGGGGACGUGCUCCGGGCAGUACACAAGUACCUGCAGCUGUAGCAGCUGGGAGUGAUGCUCAUACCCUUGAUGGCACAGGUGCUGCAGGUGAUACUGGUGGCACUGUUGGUAAUGGUUUGGGUGCUGAAAAUGAUGAUGGAGCUUGGUCACAGCCCAAGGAGCCUUACGUGGGCAUGAGGUUCGACACUUUGGAAGAUGCCAAGGUCCAUUACAAUGCAUAUUCCUUGCAAAUGGGUUUUUCAAUCAAAAUGAAUAGUUCAAGGAAGGAUAUGAAAACCGGGGAGUUGAUAAAACAACAGUUUGUUUGCAACAAGUUUUGA
rnacentral:rRNA from 1 species